AUGCAUUCAGGAUGUCAGGGAGCUGAGGUUGGUUAUGACGAGGAGAGGAUUUUUUUUUUUGCUUUUUCUCUCUUUUUUUUUUUAAGAUAUACUUUUUAUGUGAAAACUUGGACAGGUUGGACAAAUAUGCUUCUACAGAGCGGCUUCUUUUUUUUGUUUUUUUGUUGUGGUUACCACAGUCCACAUUCGGUUUGUACUUCAUCUACCUGCCACCUCAGUGUCACUGGUGAAAAGUUGCAUCUUUUUUAUCUGUAUUAAAUAAGAAAGGGAUCUUUGAGAGAUGUAACCUGCCGCUAUGGUGUACGCUAAAGAUCUUCUUUCUUAAUGCAUCGAGAUUGCAGAUAUGUACUAAGGCAAUACAAGAUGUAGAUGAGCUUGUUUCUUCAUCUGAACAAAUUUGAAGAAGUUUAGCAUUACAUCACUUGCUCAUCAAUGGAUCCUCUGCAGUGAAUGGGUGCCGUCAGAAUAAGAGUAUAUAAAAACAACAAUCCUCAAGUAAUCCACAACUCACACAAUGUUAAUUGACUCAAAUCAAUUAACAUCUUGUGAAGUGAAAAGCUGCGUGUUUGCAUGAAACAAAGCCAUCAUUAAGCGGUUUUCAUUUUAAAUUGUUGUGUCUGGCCAAAAUCAGUCCAUAAUUCAUAACUCUUCAUCCAGUGAGAAAGCCCAUCCUCUGUUGUCCUCUCACAUUAAAAUCCACUGACAUAUUGUUUAUAACUGUUUUGGCUUGUAAACAGUUUUUGAUCUGUGCAUAUUUCUCUCCUGAUUCAGACAAGAUGACUUUUUCACUAAAGAAAGCAAUACUAUGCAGCUAAAACAUGCAGCUUUUCUCUUCAGAAGACAUUAAUUGAUGGACUGGAGUGUGGAUUACUUGUGGAUUGUUGUUUUUAUCAACUGUUUGGACUCUCAUUCUGACGACACCCGUUUACUGCAGAGGAUCCAUUGGAGAGUAAGUGAUGGAAUGCUACAUUUCUCCAAAUCUGUUCUGAUGUACACUGGAAAAAAAAUUAUACUCAAUUUUUUUAAGGUAAGUGGUUGCAAUCAGUUUAUUUGAG
rnacentral:lncRNA from 1 species